rnacentral:tRNA from 1 species
GGGGUUGUAGCUCAGUGGCAGAGUGCUUGCUCAUAUCCAUGAGGCCCUGGGUUCAAUCCCCAGCACUACA